CCUACGGGUGGCAGCAGUCGAGAAUCAUUCACAAUGGGGGAAAGCCUGAUGGCGCGACGCCGCGUGGGGGAAUGAAGGUCUGCGGAUUGUAAACCCCUGUCAUGUAGGAGCAAAUUAAAAAGAUAGUACCACAAGCGGAAGAGACGGCUAACUCUGUGCCAGCAGCCGCGGUAAUACGGAGGUCUCAAGCGUUGUUCGGAAUCACUGGGCGUAAAGCGUGCGUAGGCUGUUUCGUAAGUCGUGUGUGAAAGGCGCGGGCUCAACCCGCGGACGGCACUUGAUACUGGGAGACUAGAGUAAAGGAGGGGGAAGCGGAAUUCUCGGUGUAGCAGUGAAAUGCGUAGAUAUC
rnacentral:rRNA from 1 species